GAACUUAAGCAUAUCAAUAAGCGGAGGAAAAGAAACUAACAAGGAUUCCCCUAGUAACUGCGAGUGAAGCGGGAAAAGCUCAAAUUUAAAAUCUGGUGGUCUUUGGCCAUCCGAGUUGUAAUCUAGAGAAGUGUUAUCCGCGCUGGACCGUGUACAAGUCUCCUGGAAUGGAGCGUCAUAGAGGGUGAGAAUCCCGUCUUUGACACGGACUACCAGGGCUUUGUGAUGCGCUCUCAAAGAGUCGAGUUGUUUGGGAAUGCAGCUCAAAAUGGGUGGUAAAUUCCAUCUAAAGCUAAAUAUUGGCGAGAGACCGAUAGCGAACAAGUACCGUGAGGGAAAGAUGAAAAGAACUUUGGAAAGAGAGUUAAACAGUACGUGAAAUUGCUGAAAGGGAAACGCUUGAAGUCAGUCGCGUUGUCUGGGGAUCAACCUUGCUUUUGCUGGGCGUACUUUCCAGAUGACGGGUCAGCAUCAAUUUUGACCGUUGGAUAAAGAUUAGAGGAAUGUGGCAUCUUCGGAUGUGUUAUAGCCUUUGGUUGUAUACAACGGUUGGGAUUGAGGAACUCAGCACGCCGCAAGGCCGGGUACUUGUACCACGUUCGUGCUUAGGAUGCUGGCAUAAUGGCUUUAAUCGACCCGUCUUGAAACACGGACCAAGGAGUCUAACAUGCCUGCGAGUAUUUGGGUGGUAAACCCGAGUGCGUAAUGAAAGUGAAAGUUGAGAUCCUUGUCAUGGGGAGCAUCGACGCCCGGACCAGACCUUUUGUGACGGAUCUGCGGUAGAGCAUGUAUGUUGGGACCCGAAA
rnacentral:rRNA from 1 species